rnacentral:rRNA from 1 species
AACAAGAGUAUAUGGUGGAUGCCUCGACAUAAAAAGACGAUGAAGGACGUAGCAGCCUGCGAUAAGCCUCGGUUAGGUGGCAAGCAACCUUUGAACCGUGGAUUUCCGAAUGGGGUAACCUAUCCCGUUGAAGACGGGAUGUCCGCUGUCUGAACACAUAGGACAGUGAGACGAGUACCCGGCGAAUUGAAACAUCUUAGUAGCCGGAGGAAAAGAAAACAAUUAUGAUUUCUAAUCAACUUUGAAUAAUUUUUAUUCAAUCUUGAUUAGUAAUCUCUAUUCCCUGAGUAGUGGCGAACGAAAGGGGAGGAGCCCAAACCCUUUAAACUGCGUUUUCUAGUUUACUAGAGAACAGAAGGUUUUAGGACCAUAUGUUUAUUGGGGGUUGCAAGAUCGUUGCGUUCACUUCCUAAAUAAAGUGAGGUAGAGAAAAAUAUAUAACUUACCUAGUUGAAGCGAGCUGGAAAGCUCCGCCAGAGAAGGUGAUAGCCCUGUAAUGCAAAAGGUGUUAUAAAUCUACGGCAGCAUAUCUUAAGUACCGCGGGACACGAGAAAUCCCGUGGGAAAUCGGGUCGACUAUGACCCAAGGCUAAAUACUUUUUAUGAUCAAUAGUGAACUAGUACCGUGAGGGAAAGGUGAAAAGCAUCCCGGUUAGGGAGGUGAAAUAGUACCUGAAACCAUAUACUUACAAAGAGUCGGAGCUUCGUGUCUCACUUUCGUUCGACACGAAUUUUCAAUUUUCAAUUUUCAAUUUUCAAUAAAUUUUCAAUGAUUCAAUUUUCAAUGUUUAGGUUUACCAAAAAUAAACUUAGUAAUUUGAAAAUUGAAAAUUGUUAUUUGUUUGAAAAUUGAAAAUUGAAAAUUGAAAAUUCCUCGUGACGAGCGGUAGCGAGAUACGAGGUGACGGCGUGCCUAUUGAAGAAUGAGCCAACGAGUUUAUGUGUGUGGCUUAGCUAAUUUCCAUUUGGAAUGUAGCUGCAGUGAAAGCGAGGGUUAAUAGCCCGUCUCUUACUUAUUAGAAAGUAGAUCCUUUAAUCUUCUUUCUAAUAUUUAAGAAUGUCGCAUAUAUAAGACCCGAAGCCGUGUGAUCUAACCAUGACCAGGUUGAACGGAGUAGAAAUACUUCGGGAGGACCGAACCCACUAGUCGUGCAACACUAGGGGAUGAGUUGUGGUUAGCGGAGAAAUUCCAAUCGAACUCGGCAAUAGCUGGUUCUCCUCGAAAUAGCUUUAGGGCUAGCCUCGGAUGCUGACUGUUGGGGGUAGAGCACUGAAUGGGAACGGGCCGCAAGGUACCUUUCUCAACCAAACUCCGAAUACCAACAGGUGUAAUCCGGGAGUUAGACUAUGGGGGCUAAGCUCCAUUAGUCGAAAGGGAAACAGCCCAGACCGCAAUUUAAGGUCCCUAAAUAUAUACUAAGUGUUAAAAGUUGUGUCGUGACUACGACAACUAGGAGGUUGGCUUAGAAGCAGCCAUCCUUUAAAGAUAGCGUAAUAGCUCACUAGUCUAGUUGUUUCGCGCUGAAAAUUUAUCGGGGCUAAGUAUAUUACCGAAAAUGCGGAUUCAUCACGUUAAGUGAUGAGUGGUAGAGGAGCAUUCUUAAUUCACUGAAGCUGAAUCGUGAGAUUUAGUGGAGAAUUAAGAAGAGAGAAUGUUGGCAUGAGUAGCAAAAAGGCAGGUGAGAACCCUGCCCACCGUAAACCUAAGGUUUCCUGGGCAACGUAAAUCGGCCCAGGGUUAGUCGGUCCUAAGACGAGGCUCGUGUAGUGCGAGCGUAGCCGAUGGAUGAGCUGGUCAAUAUUCCAGCACUACUGCAGUUUUCCGAUGGGGGGACGCAGUUUCAAGUUUUGAGCGUUCUAUGGUUUGAACGUUGAUGGCCAAUCUGUGUGAUCCAGGCAAAUCCGGAUCACAUAAGCAGAGAAGUUGUCUGAAGAUGAAGCUUCGGUGGAAUCAAUUCAGAAGGAGAAAUUGCCUAGAAAAACCUCUAGGGCUAAGACUGUAGUAACCGUACCGUAAACCGACACAGGUAGGUGAGGCGAGUAGCCUCAGGUGCACGAGAGAACCUUCGUUAAGGAACUCGGCAAAACAGCGACCGUAACUUCGGGAUAAGGUCUCCCUCAAGCAAUUGAGGGCGCAGCUAAAGAUGCCUGGUGACUGUUUAUCAAAAACACAGCUCCCUGCUAACUCGUAAGAGGAUGUAUAGGGGGUGAUGCCUGGCCAGUGUCCGAACGUUAAAGGGAUGGGUGAAUCCCGCAUUUUGCGGGAGGCAGCCUUGAUCUGAAGCGCGGAUGAACGCCGGCGAUAACUAUAAUCGUCCUAAGGUACCGAAAUUCCUUGUCGGGUAAGUUCCGACCUGCAGGAAUGGCAUAACAACUGGGCAACUGUCUCAACGAAGGACUCGGCGAAAUUGCAAUAUGAGUAAAGAUGCUCGUUAACCAUAGUUGGACGAAAAGACCCCGUGAAGCUUUACUAUAGCUUAAUAUUGGAUUAGGGUUAUGCAUGUUCAGUAUAGGUGGGAGCCCCGCAUUUUGCGGGGCAUCAGUGAGAUACCACCCUUGUAUAUUUUUAAUUCUAACUUGCAGCCAUGAAACUGGCGCGAGGACAGUAUUUGGUGGGUAGUUUGUCUGGGGCGGAUGCCUCCUAAAAAGUAACGGAGGCGUUUACAAAGGUUGGCUAUCCCGGAAUGGAAACCCGGGAGAUAGUGUAAAGGCAAAAGCCAGCUUUACUGCGAGACCUACAAGUCAAGCAGUUGCGAAAGCAGAACUUAGUGAUCCGACCGUUCGAUAUAGGACGGCGGAAGCUCAUCGGAUAAAAGCUACUCCGGGGAUAACAGGCUAGUCUGGUCCAAGAGUUCACAUCGACGACCAGGUUCGGCACCUCGAUGUCGGCUCGUCGCAUCCUGGGGGUGAAGAAGCUCCCAAGGGUUGGGCUGUUCGCCCAUUAAAGCGGCACGCGAGCUGGGUUCAGACCGUCGUAAGACAGGUCGGUCUCCUAUCCACUAUGGUCAUGGAAACUUGAGAAGGCCGUUCCCUAGUACGAGAGGACCGGGAAUGACGAAGCUCUAGUGUACCAGCUGUCCCACCAGGGGCAUCGCUGGGUAGCUACCUUCGGUUUGGAUAAGCGCUGAAAGCAUAUAAGCGCGAAGCCGUCUUCAAGAUUAGGUUUCAUAGAAUCGUGAGAGACUAUCACGUUAAUAGGCUCUAGGUGUAAGCGCAGUAAUGCGUUCAGCCAAGGAGUACUAAUAUUUCAUUUAAUUU